rnacentral:tRNA from 2 species
GCGGGUGUGGCGGAAUGGCAGACGCGGCAGACUCAAAAUCUGCUCUGGGUAACUAGGUGGGGGUUCAAGUCCCUUCACCCGCA